rnacentral:rRNA from 1 species
GUGAGGAAUUUUCCGCAAUGGGCGAAAGCCUGACGGAGCAAUGCCGCGUGAAGGAUGAAGGCCUAUGGGUUGUAAACUUCUUUUCUCAGAAAAGAAUUAUGACGGUAUCUGAGGAAUAAGCAUCGGCUAACUCUGUGCCAGCAGCCGCGGUAAGACAGAGGAUGCAAGCGUUAUCCGGAAUGAUUGGGCGUAAAGCGUCUGUAGGUUGUUUAAAAAGUAUUCUGUCAAAGAUUAGGGCUUAACCCUAGAUAGGCAGAAUAAACUUUUAAGCUAGAGUUUGGUAGAGGCGGAGGGAAUUCCCGGUGGAGCGGUGAAAUGCGUAGAUAUCGGGAGGAACACCAAAGGCGAAGGCACUCUGCUGGGCCAAUACUAACACUGAGAGACGAAAGCGAGGGGAGCAAAUGGGAUUAGAAACCCGAGUAGUCC